UACGUAGGGUGCGAGCGUUGUCCGGAAUUAUUGGGCGUAAAGAGCUCGUAGGCGGUCUGUCGCGUCUGCUGUGAAAACCCGAGGCUCAACCUCGGGCCUGCAGUGGGUACGGGCAGACUAGAGUGCGGUAGGGGAGAAUGGAACUCCUGGUGUAGCGGUGGAAUGCGCAGAUAUCAGGAGGAACACCAAUGGCGAAGGCAGCUCGCUGGGACGGUACUGACGCUGAGACGCGACAGCGUGGGGAGCAAACAGG
rnacentral:rRNA from 1 species